CGAUGCCGCUUGUCUCGACUUUCUGUUCUCCAAAGAAAAACAGCAGAAAAGCGAAACCAGCACAAACUAAAAAUGGGUUGGAGCCAAGAAGUGUAGGAAGCAGAGUUCAAACCUUGGAGAGACGAUUACCAGCUUGGAUUGCAAAAGAAAAGUUUCCAGGAAAACUGAAUUUUUGUGAAUUGAGCUAUCCAUCCAGUCAUCUCCACAACACCGAUAUUUAAAGAUAAGCAGACAUACGGAGAGGAGGCGUUGGCAAGCCACACCACCUUGUCAUAGAGCAGAACUUGAUGUGUGAGGACCCAGGCCUGGGAGGGAAUCUCCAUGGAAGGAAGCCACACUUCUCCGCCAUCCAUGCCUCAGGUGACCAGCUCCUGGGCCCUCUGAAUCUCAGCCUACAUCCUGGAGCAGGUGCUUUCUGGGAUCUGCUUACACAUGCACAGGGCUGAAUCUGACUCAAUAUGAUAAUAGGGAAGAUAGGUGCGCUUACAUCACAUAUCCCAGGGAACCUCUCUGCCAAGUCACACGUACUGCCUCCCAUGACCCAGUCCUCACUGCGGAUCUACACGACAGACCCUGCUCCAGACCUGGAGCCAAGUGGUGCAACUCCCCAUGUGUCAGAAGUGCCAUCUGGGACGCACUGUUGGAAACCUGGGCUCUGCAGCACCCUCCGCUUCCUGCCUGCCACACCUUCGUGUGCACAGUCAGGGCCUGAAAGUCUGCAUCCAUUCAUCUCUUCCAGUCCCAGAUCACACCUGGACAACCCUGCUUUGUAUCUCUAGUCCAUUACACAUCCCGGUUCUCCUGGACUAAGAUACCUGUAGGCAUUAAUACAAAACCCAAAGCACCGAUCUGGAAAAGGUUAGAUUCUCCAAAACAAAUAGUGGCAUAUGUUCUUUCCUUGGUAGCCCUGCAGUGAGUAUAGAUUCCGUCUGCCACCCAGAGUCAGGGGCACCUCUGUCCUUGAAGACCUGGCCUUGCCUAUAGUAUUACUGGGGACAAGAAGUUAGGUGGGCUCUAUUGUCUCCAUGUUGAGGGUCAUUCUUCAUGGUCACCAAGUUCUCUCUGACAUCUCAGCAAAUCAACCCUCCGCUUUGACAGCAAAAUGGGCAAAUGUGGAAAAAAUCUACUCCUUGAACCCCCAUCCACCAUGAAGCAAUGGACUCAGCCUCAUCUUGGUCCGGGACUCAGUGGCAGCCCAUAUCAGGCAGGUUAAUGUACCGUCACCCAUGUCCCCUUCAAAAAUUCUGCCAGAGUGCGAAUUAAAUGCGGCACAAAGUGCAAACUCUUUCA